rnacentral:rRNA from 1 species
AAGAAAUCUUAGUUUGUCUUUCAAAGUCAAAAAUAUAAUGUGACUGGGUCAAUUUUAUCGAUUUAUCGAAUAAAGUUCUGUAUACAUAUUGAUAAUGACAAUAUGUACAUAUGUCUUGACCAAUUACGUGCCAGCAGUCGCGGCAAUACGUAAGAGACUAGUGUUAAUCAUCUUUAAUAGGUUUAAAGGGUACUCAGACGGAAAAAGUUUGCCUGAAAUAGGGACAAUUUUUCUAGAGUUUUAUGUAAGAAGAUCGAACUUUAGAGUGUAGAGAUAAAAUUCGUUGAUACCUAGGGGACUGGUGAGGGCGAAGGCAAUCUUUUAUGUAAAAACUGACGUCGAAGGACGAAGGCUAAGGUCGCAAAAAGGAUUAGAGACCCAAGUAGUCUUAGCAGUCAAUUAUGAAUGCCAUAGGUUAGAUGUUAGGUCUAGCCUAUAAAUGAAAGUGUAAGCAUUUCACCUCAAGAGUAAUGUGGCAACGCAGGAACUGAAAUCACUAGACCGUUUCUGACACCAGCAGUGAAGUAUGUUAUUUAAUUCGAUGACCCACGAAAAACCUUACCACAACUUGAAUAGUUGUUUUUUAUAUAUAAGUAAAUAUAUAAUUACUUCGAUAAAACAAGUGUUGCACGGCUGUCUUCAGUUAAUGUUGUGAAACUGUGGUUUAGUCCACGUAAUUAACGAAAACCCUUGCUUUAUUUGUAAAUUAAAAAAAUAAAGUAUUUCGCCUUUAUAUGGGUAAUGAU